CCUACGGGUGGCAGCAGUGAGGAAUAUUGGUCAAUGGGCGCGAGCCUGAACCAGCCAAGUCGCGUGAGGGAAGACGGUCCUCUGGAUUGUAAACCUCUUUUGUCGGGGAGCAAAGGGCGCCACGUGUGGCGUUUUGCGAGUACCUGAAGAAACAGCAUCGGCUAACUCCGUGCCAGCAGCCGCGGUAAUACGGGGGAUGCGAGCGUUAUCCGGAUUUAUUGGGUUUAAAGGGUGCGUAGGCGGAAUGCCAAGUCAGCGGUAAAAUCGCGGGGCUCAACCUCGCUCCGCCGUUGAAACUGGCGUUCUUGAGUGGGCGAGAAGUAUGCGGAAUGCGUGGUGUAGCGGUGAAAUGCUUAGAGAUCAUACAGAACACCGAUUGCGAAGGCAGCUUACCAAGCUACUUCUGACGUUGAGGCACGAAAGCGUGGGGAGCAAACAGGAUUAGAUACCCUGGUAGUC
rnacentral:rRNA from 1 species